CUCGAAUCCCCCCGCAGCCUGGGUGAGCUUUAGCAGAGGGUAUCUGGCUCCCACCUGUAGAUGUUCUGAUGGAAGGUGUUGUACGAGGCGAAGACUGCAGAAAAUCCUGCUCACCUUGGAAGACAGCAAGUGGUCAAACUGGGGCGUGAGGUAAAAGCGGAUCCCCUUCCAGGCCCCCUCCAGCGUCACGCCGCGAACGAGCAGCAUCACCAGGAUGAGGUAAUUUCUAGAGCUGAUCAUCGCAUCCAGAGCCUCUGCAGACUGGAAGAUCUUACACACAGCUGGCACCUACUGCAAUGACCAACCCCGAAGUCCAGCCUGCUCCACCUUCCCCCAGGAUUUAACCUCUGCUGCUAAUGGGAGCUUGGAGGAUUUGGGAUUUGGGGCCGACACU